rfam:Alicyclobacillus ferrooxydans strain TC-34 contig_2, whole genome shotgun sequence.
CAACCCUUGUCGGAAGGCAAGACUACACUGGCAGAAGUCAGCAGACGUCAUAGUACGAUGCAAAGCAUCGGAAAGGC